rnacentral:rRNA from 1 species
AGUGAACGCUGGCGGUAGGCCUAACACAUGCAAGUCGAACGGCAGCACAGUAAGAGCUUGCUCUUACGGGUGGCGAGUGGCGGACGGGUGAGGAAUACAUCGGAAUCUACUUUUUCGUGGGGGAUAACGUAGGGAAACUUACGCUAAUACAGCAUACGACCUACGGGUGAAAGCAGGGGAUCUUCGGACCUUGCGCGAUUGAAUGAGCCGAUGUCGGAUUAGCUAGUUGGCGGGGUAAAGGCCCACCAAGGCGACGAUCCGUAGCUGGUCUGAGAGGAUGAUCAGCCACCCUGGAGCUGAGACGCGGUCCAGCCUCCUACGGGAGGCAGCAGUGGGGAAUAUUGGACAAUGGGCGCAAGCCUGCUCCAGCCAUGCCGCGUGGGUGAAGAAGGCCUUCGGGUUGUAAAGCCCUUUUGUUGGGAAAGAAAAGCAGCAGGUUAAUACCCCGCUGUUCUGACGGUACCCAAAGAAUAAGCACCGGCUAACUUCGU